rnacentral:rRNA from 2 species
UACGGAGGGUGCAAGCGUUGUCCGGAUUUAUUGGGUUUAAAGGGUGCGUAGGCGGCUUUUUAAGUCUGGGGUGAAAGCCCGUUGCUCAACAACGGAACUGCCCUGGAAACUGGAGAGCUUGAGUACAGACGAGGGUGGCGGAAUGGAUACUGUAGCGGUGAAAUGCAUAGAUAGUAUCCAGAACCCCGAUUGCGAAGGCAGCUGCCUAGACUGUAACUGACGCUGAGGCACGAAAGCGUGGGGAGCGAACAGG